UGAUCUUUGUUUGGAGUAACUGUCUGUUUUGGACGCGUUUGGCACUUUUUCUCACUACCUUUUUGUGUUCGCUACCAAAUUCUCCUUGAAGACACACUUUACAACUCCACAAGCGUCAUUUUCUUGGUACAAACUCAUUUUGCAGAGCUUCUUGUCGUUUGUCUUGGUCGCGUCACACACUUUCAGCGGGAACUUUGAAGCUGGUUAGCGGAAGUACGCUAACAUAAGUUAGCCUAAUCAUCUCUGAUGCGAGUGUUCUGAAAUGAGCAUGGUCUCUCAGCCAGUCCGACUGAAGUCCUCACGCGGCAACGCGGGUCGGAACCAGUCCACCUUAAAUUCCAAAGCUGGGCUAACAGCCCAGGCUGUUAUCUCAGCCAGGAGCCUUGCCACCAGACCGGAUUGCGGUCCCGUCCGUUUAACUAUCGAGAAACUGUCCGAGGAGCACCAACGGAGCUCCAGACCAGGAAGGCCAUGGCGAAUGCCUCGACACAAACCGGACAGCGGCGGGGCCCCUCAUCGGACACCAAUGGACUCUCAGCCUGGUCACAACCUCCUGACAUCACACUUUCAGAUGGGGGCUCGUGGUGCGGUGCUGGCGGCUCUCAAGCAGCACUCUCACGCCCCUCAGAGGCGAGAGGUCAAAGUUCAACUUUUAGACCCCGCCCAGAGCAGCAGCAGCAGCACCUCCCACCAUAGUGCACAGGCGGGGGGAGAAUGCCUUUCUGGUAACCUAGGAGAUACCAUGAAUGCACACACUACUGCUGCAGCUCCACUGCAGGCUCAGUCAGACAUGGAAGCUGGAGGGUUCCAGCGGGGUUACAUCGUGGACAGACUGGGCGGCGCCAGUGGGCGGAGCCAGGUGACACCGCAGCCCACGGAGGCGGCGCUGCCUAGCCGGCAGUUGGAGUCUCAGAGCCAAUAUCUCGGGUCGGCUCUCAGCGUCGUCACGCCUGUUUCUUCCACCACUUCUGACCCCGCAUGUCAACAAGUCACGAAGGUGGACUCUGCAGUAAACAUCACCUCAUCAACCAGAACCAGUGUGGAGACUGGCCCAGUUACCAUGGCAACACACACAGACCAAACCAGGGAGGCCCACCAUCACAGAGACCCUCCUAUUGUUUCUGCGGCAACCCAAGCUAAUGACAGCCAGGAAGCGAUGGAGGCGGGGCUGGCGGAGGCUGAGGCCUUGCUUGUUCAGAGUGGGCCGGAGGUUACUUCUAUGCUGGAGGAGGCCAGUCAGGUUCUCCGCCAAGUUCAACGACAAAAGAAAGUUCUUGAGGAGAAUCUGGAGGCCGUGGAAAGAGUCCGGACCGGAGAGAUCCUGCAAUCUCAGCUAGAGGCCCUGGUUGCUAACAGAGACGAAAGCGAGCAGGUUCGCAUCAAGAGGACCGUCGAUGCCUGGAUCCAUCUGAUUAGCAGAGAUGUGAAGGCUAAGAUGAAACGGGAAGCGUCCCAUCGCAGGCGUGCGGACGCUUCAUCCUUUCCACUUUCGCCGCAGCGCGUGGUGGGGAGCAGAGGCGCCGCCCACACAGGAAAGACAGCGAGCUUGCCCAGGGGAACAGGAAAUAAGACGAUGGCAGGAAGUAAGGCGGCGGCGGCGGCGGCAGGAAGAGGAUACAGAAGCCAGAUUGCUGGAAAGAGCGCGGGGGCGGGGCCUGCUCCCGGUUUUGAGCGGCUGGACGACGAAUCAUACCUCACUCGUCUGUACGGUAUAACGCCACAAGACAGCCUGAGACCAAGCCCCGGGAAGAGUCACUACCCUCCCGUAACCUCCCUGAACGCCAACUCCCUAACCAGCAGGAAGCCCCGCCCACAUUUCAUGGAGCCUUUGAGAGGACGUGGUCGUAUGAAACAGGAAGUGGAGCAGAUACCUUCUGUCUCAGGUGUGAAGGCGAAGCCCUGGAAGACUGAGACCAGUGUGGGUGUGCCCCUCAACUCAUCACCUGGGCAACAUCUGUCCUCUCACCUGACCCCACGGGGCCUUUCUGUGACCCCUGCAGAGACAGCCAUAGCCGUCCCACUGGGUCAUCCAAGGAUAGGUCCCUCCCCCAGGUUUCGACAGAAAGUGACCUCACCACCUGUCGUAUUCUCCUCCAUGGACCACACUGCACCUGAGCCCCCCAGGUGUCGACAAAAGGUGCCCUCACCAUCUGUCGUAUUGACUGUGGACCACACCGCACCUCAGCCCCCCAGGGGUGAACAGAAGGUGACCUCACAACCUGUCGUAUUCUCCUCCGUGGACCACACUGCACCUGAGCCCCCCAGGUGUCGACAAAAGGUGCCCUCACCACCUGUCGUAUUGGCUGUGGACCACACUGCACCUGAGCCCCCCAGGUGUCGGCAAAAGGUGCCCUCACCACCUGUCGUAUUCUCAUCCAUGGACCACAUUGCACCUGAGCCCCCCAGGGGUGAACAGAAGGUGACCUCACCACCUGUUGUAUUGGCUGUGGACCACACUGCACCUCAGCCCCCCAGGGGUGAACAGAAGGUGACCUCACCACCUGUCGUAUUGUCUGUGGACCACACCACACCUGAGCCCCCCAGGGGUGUACAGAAAAUGACCACACCACCGGUCAUUUUGUCCUCCAUGGACCACACUGCACCUCAGCCCCCCAGGGGUGAACAGAAGGUGACCUCACCACCUGUCAUAUUGGCUGUGGACCACACUGCACCUGAGCCCCCCAGGGGUGAACAGAAGGUGACCUCACCACCUGUUGUAUUGUCUGUGGACCACACUGCACCUGAGCCCCCCAGGGGUGAACCAAAAGUGAGCCCACCACCGGUCAUAUUCUCCACCAUGGAACACACUGCACCUGAGCCCCCCAGGUGUGAACAAAAAGUUAGCCCACCACCGGCCAUAUUCUCCUCCAUGGACCACACUGCACCUGAGCCCCCCAGGGGUGAACAGAAGGUGACCUCUCCACCCGUCGUAUUGUCUGUGGACCACACUGCACCUGAGCCCCCCAGGUGUGAACAGAAAGUGAGCCCACCACCUGUCAUAUUCUCCUCCAUGGACCACGCUUCUCCUGAGCCCCCCAGCCACCAGGUGGAGCCAGUGGAUGCAGGUGAAGCUCCGCCCCCCCCAUCUAUCACUGUCAACAUCACGGGAAGGAAGAAUGAAGAGGACGCAGAGGAAGAGGAUGGCUUCCCUGGAAAUGACUUCCUGUUUGCCACUGACGUGGUGCAGGGGGAGGAGUCUGUCCCGUCUGAGGAAGGAAUCUGUUUGGAGGGAGGUCCAUCUCCUACUUUGGUCCAGCAUCAGGGUCCAGUCUUCCCCUGCCAGACCUUUGAUUUGCAUCCCGUCCGCCAUCAUCACUCAUCAGUGGCGAGGGUUGAUGAUGACCUGGUGAAACGACUGGCGAUGCGGGUGGAGCAGCAGCUCAUGUCAACAAUGAUCUCUGACCUCUACGCACCCCAGCCCCCUGACCCCGGGCAGAAUGACAUCACGGACCAAUCAGAGGUCGAGAGGAGUCUCACCUCAGACAUUGUAGAGGCAGCCGGCGGUGGGGGUCUGCAGCUUUUUGUAGACUCCAAUGUGCCCGUGGACUCAGUUUUAAUCAGGCAACUGGUUCAUGAGGUCCUGGCCGAGAUAGUGGCUCAGGUGCUUGAACAGAGGGAGGCUCCAGAUCCUGGAGCAAGACCAGGGGAAGAACCACCUGGACCAGAACCACACACAGCUGAUGAGGAGAAGGUGUCUUCUGUGGUUCCAACGCCGGUACCGACCCCUGUGCUGAGUCCUGUUCCGUCCAUCAGAGACCCCCUCCUUCUGGCCACGCCCCCUUCAUCAGAAGCAGCCAGCUUGCUCGUUGAGGAGGAUUCCUCACAUCAAAUCACAGCCCGAGAGCCUGUAGCGACGCCCAUCCCCACCCCGGAGCCCAUCUACUCUGCAGAAACACCUCCUGUUGUCCGUCAAGCCACACCCUCCCUGUCCUUGGUAGACCCUGAGCUGCCACUGGAGGAGGAGAAGCCAGAGGAGCACCUCGAUGAGCAGCAGCUAGAUGAACACGCUAAGCCACAGAUGACGUCAGCAGAAGAACAACAACCCCUCCCGUUAGCUUCACCCCCUCCCCGGCCCGACCCAGAGUCCCCCUGCAGUGUUUCCGAUGAUGGAAGCAGCAGUCCAACGACAGGAAGUGAUACAGCGCUCAAACUGGUCUCAGAGGGAGAGCUCCUGAUCAGUUUCAACCAGCCAGACGCCAUGACAGAGGAGUGCAGUUUUUCCAGCUCUCUUCAGGAUACGGACAUUGAUCCGCCCAGUGAGGGGCAGGUCAAAGGUUGUAUGUCCCAGAUGGAGCAUGGACACACACAUACGGGUGCGUGGAGGAGGCAGGACGACCUAAGCGUGGGGGAAGUGCCUCACGCUUACAGGGAGCGCUUGCGAUCAACGACACCCGAACACGUGGCACGGAUCAAUUCAUGUGCAGCGGACGCCACCAACGACAGCCUCAACGUGACCUCUGACCUCCACAGUCAGCUGUCUCCAUCUCAGGUGUCACACCCGGAUGACACGCAUACAGCAGGACAGGUGAUGCAGUUCAAAGAGUUGAGCGCCACACAAACAGGCCAACAGGAAGUCAGCAACGGUACAUGCGUCCCACCAGAGAAGAUAUCUUCAGAUGACUCCAGUGAUUUGUUUUAGCGCAUCACACUUCUGCUACUUUUUUGGAGGGCUGCCUUGACAUAGUAGGCUGCACCAUUUCCCACCAAGGUACCUAGGGUUUAAACAGCGGGAACUGACACCCUUCUCCCCACCUCCACUGGAGAACUCAGACCACCCGGGUCACAGGUAUGUUUUUUAAAUUAAUCAUGUCUGAAAUAUGCUAAUUUAUACCGUAUUUAAUUAAAACCAGUCAAAUAAUCUAUUAUGUCUAUCACCAGCCUCCUUAAUAGUAGCAGAACAUUUGAAUCACACUUUAAACCAGGGGUCUCAAACUCAAUUUACUUGGGGGCCACUGGAGCUAGGGUCUGGGUGAGACUGGGCCGCAUCAGGUUUUCCAAAACAAAAAAACAAAAAAAAACGCAUUUAUUAAAAACAAAAAAAUUAAAAAAACUUUGCUUUGGUUCCAAUUUUCUACAAUAAAAGCUCUGAUAAAACAUUCCACUGUUCUCAAAUAUCUUACUUUUUAUUUUUCUACACAAAAUAAGAUGAAAAAUAAAUAAACAAAUCAAGAAUAAAGAAAACCAAUCAAUCAGUAAUAAAUAAAUAUAAUAAUAAUAAAAACUUAAGAAAGCACAUAUAGUUGGUGGGUAGACAAAUGAUUUUUUUCAUAUUAAAAUGAACAAAGCAUUAUUAGAGCCCUGUAGACAUGACAAAACACGACUAUAGUCACAUUUAUACUCUUUUUAUUUACAACAUAUUGCGCAACUGCAGGGUCUUGAGACACAUGCUAACUCGCAAACUGGAGAGCUAGCGACCUAAACGGUAGCUUUCAAGUUAUUUCCUUUCAACUUAAAUAGCCAAAAACUUACCACUUCCACACGGAUAGGGAGGAUAACUAUUAACAGUUAUUUAACCUUUAACAUGAACAUGAAUCAAACGUAAUCAUUUUUUCUGGGUACAUGAUACCAUACAGCAUCCAUAUCAAACUAACAUUAAACUUUCAUAUCAAGGCGGGGGCCUCAAACGAGUGUCCUGCGGGCCGCGUGUUUGAGACAGCCUGCUUUAAACCAUGUUGUUAUAAGCAAUGAGGAGUUGCGUUCAAAGACAUCAGAUUAUUUAACAUAUAUGUAUUUAACAACUUACGUAAAGGGAGAAAAUUGUACAUCCCGAUUCAGAGUUACAAUAGUGAGAGAGAACAAUGUCCACUUCAUGUUUUUUUUUUUUUUGUAUCUUCCCGUUUAUUUAAAUACACAAGCGCGCCCACUACCGUUUUUAUGCUGUUGCAGCCCACGUUCGUGUAAUGACAAUGAGGAAGUGUCGUUCCCAGUACGAACGGGCUAGACACGCGUGUGACUUGGAUAUAGCACAUACAGUAUAUCAUGUUGGGGUUGCAUUUACGUUCGUGUGUUGCGCUUUUGACUGCCGAGAGGCGUGGUUUCUCUGGUGCGCAUGCGUUAAUUACAUUUAAAAAAAAAAAAAAAAAGUACCGUCAUUAAUUUGAUAAAUUGGUUAUUAUUUUUGACGGCUCUAUUUGGAUUAAAAAAAAGACACGUCUUCAUGUAAAUAUGGAUGCCUCAUUAAUAACUCACUUUACAUUGACCUUGUACUGUCAAGUGAAGGUGUGGAAAGGGCUUAAGGGGUAUAAGUACACAAAUUGUAUGAGUGUGCAUGCACCACUUUUUAUGUCACAUUUUAGGUUUCUGGCAUUCAUAGACUUCUAUAGAUGAGACAUUUUGUGCACUUUGUCAAGUUAUGUUUGAAUUGUGUUGUUGUGUUUGUUUCCAUUGUGGUCGCAGCAGGAAUUUAUUCGUCAUCACUAAGUGGGUGUGGACUGUGUGUGUGCUAACAGGGUGAGGUUCUCUCUCUAACACACACAUACACUGCGGCUGAGUGUGCACGUCAGACUCGUUUUUGUCGUCUUAACCGCAGAAGAUGAAUAUAAACGUAAGUCACAUGUCUCAGGUGUAUGCGUGUAUGCGUGUAUGCGUGUAUGGGUGCGUGUGUAUGUGAGACAACAUUCCACAUGAGGCACCACACCCUCUGUGCUGCCUUCAGGGACACCUGGAAAUGUCUAACAUAUUUUUGUCUGGUAGCUCUCUGACGCUCUCGAUGAUUGGCCCGCCUCUGGGGGCAAUCAGUCCUCAAAUCAAAACUCCAGCUGGCCCA